GGGGAAGUUUGGGAGGAAGGCUUCUGAGAAGACUGGUGGGAGAGAAGGAGAGCCUGCAGACAGAGGCCUCCAGCUUGGAGGAAAAGCUUUCAGACUGCUGAAGGCCCAGCAGGAAGAGAGGCUGGAUGAGAUCAACAAGCAAUUCCUAGACGAUCCCAAAUAUAGCAGUGAUGAGGAUCUGCCCUCCAAACUGGAGGGCUUCAAAGGUGAGGGGGAAACUGUAGGCGGUGGAGACAGGGCUGGGGGUAGGAGGGUUAGGAUUUCCACAAGAACAAGGCAGGAACAGCAGAGAUACAAAGUUUACUUUUGUGGUAGCAAAAGGGGAACCUGCCUUUAUUGCCCUCCUGCCACACUGCGGUCCCUUUCCCGGGCCUGCCUCUCUCAGCAUCCCCUCUAGCUCCUUACACCCUAGCGGGGCCCCUCAACUCCCCAACCCCACUUCCUCUGCCUGCCCCUCCUCCUCCUUCCACGUUGUCUCCUCCACCUAGCAGUUGGUUGGCAACCCCUUCCUCAGUCCCCUGCUGAAAACCCUCCAGUCAGCGCUUAUCCCUUCUGCUCUCUCCCCUCACCCAGAGAAAUACAUGGAGUUUGACCUUAAUGGAAAUGGCGAUAUUGGUGAGAAACGGGUGAUUUGCGGGGGCAGGGUGGUGUGCAGGCCUAAGAAGACAGAGGUCUCUCCUACAUGCUCCAUUCCUCAUGAUUUGGGAGGGGGCCCACCUACCACAGUGGGAGGAAGGAGAAUGGGGAUGUGGAAGUGGGAGAGGAGAGAGAGGGUCUCCCCACCUUCUCCCCAUCCCCAUCCUCUGCCCC
rnacentral:sRNA from 1 species